rnacentral:rRNA from 1 species
UAGGGAAUCUUCGGCAAUGGACGAAAGUCUGACCGAGCAACGCCGCGUGAGUGAAGAAGGUUUUCGGAUCGUAAAACUCUGUUGUUAGAGAAGAACAAGGACGUUAGUAACUGAACGUCCCCUGACGGUAUCUAACCAGAAAGCCACGGCUAACUACGUGCCAGCAGCCGCGGUAAUACGUAGGUGGCAAGCGUUGUCCGUAUUUAUUGGGCGUAAAGCGAGCGCAGGCGGUUUCUUAAGUCUGAUGUGAAAGCCCCCGGCUCAACCGGUGAGGUUCAUUGGAAACUGGGAGACUUGAGUGCAGAAGAUGAGAGUGGAAUUCCAUGUGUAGCGGUGAAAUGCGUAGAUAUAUGGAGGAACACCAGUGGCGAAGGCGGAUCUCUGGUCUGUAACUGACGCUGAGGCUCGAAAGCGUGGGGAGCAAACAGG